rnacentral:tRNA from 2 species
CAGUAUAUAGUUUAUUAUAAAAUUUGGUAUUUGGGUUGCUAGGAUUAGUUACUGA